AUUGAACGCUGGCGGCAUGCCUUACACAUGCAAGUCGAACGGCAGCACGGGAGCAAUCCUGGUGGCGAGUGGCGAACGUGUGAGUAAUGUAUCGGAACGUUCCCAGUCGUGGGGGAUAACGUAGAGAAAGCUCCGCUAAUACCGCAUACGAUCUAUGGAUGAAAGCGGGGGAUCGCAAGACCUCGCGCGAUGGGCUCGCCCGAUAUCAGAUUAGGUAGUUGGUGGGGUAAGGGCUCACCAAGCCGACGAGCUGUAGCUGGUCUGAGAGGACGACCAGACACACUGGGACUGAGACACGGCCCAGACUCCUACGGGAGGCAGCAGUGGGGAAUUUUGGACAAUGGGCGCAAGCCUGAUCCAGCAAUGCCGCGUGCAGGAUGAAGGCCUUCGGGUUGUAAACUGCUUUUGUACGGAGCGAAAAGGCUCUCUCUAAUACAGGGGGCUCAUGACGGUACCGUAAGAAUAAGCACCGGCUAACUACGUGCCAGCAGCCGCCGUAAGAC
rnacentral:rRNA from 1 species